UGAUGACUUACCUCCAAAACGCUUUAAAACUUUCGUUUAUAAUUCUAUGUGUGUUUAUAAUUAAAGAGCUACAGUGAAAUAAAAUGAAUUCUUCAAGAAAGGCAGCACCCAUGACAAAAGAUGAGACGAUGAUUCUAGCAGAACUUGUGGCGGCGAAAAAACAUUUCAAUAAUAAGGCAACAAAUGCCACAAACAAUAAAUUGAAGAAGCAGGCUUGGCAAACCCUUGUAAAUGAUUUUAAUUCGUCGAUUCGUCGUUUCCCACGAACUCCAUCGCAGCUUCGACUAAAAUGGGAAAACUUAAAGAACGCUACGACAACAUAAGAAACAACCUUAGUAAGGUUAGUAUAAUUAGUUGAUUGUUUGUCUCUAAUAACACAUUGAUAAACAUGAUUUUUUCUUCAGGUUGCCGUAGUAUUUGAAAUAAUUAUGCUCUUUGUUACAGGCUGGAGGUGCCAAGCGGAAACAAGAUGGAAGAAAAGAAAUGCAAGGCUAGCAUAGGGACAAUGCAUUAGCAGAAUAUCUAAUAGCAAAAAAGAGACUUGACUUGGAAAAUAAAGAAAAGGAGAUUGUUUUAGCAAAAGUUAAGUUAGAUUUAGAUAAUUUAAAAAAUUAAAAAUUACUUAAAAGGAAUAUUAAAUUUCAUAAAUUAAGUAGGCAAUAAUAAUUUUAUGUUAGAUAGUUUUUUAAGUAUAUGUACAAAUUCAAAAUUAAAUAUCUUGCAUGUACUAACUACCAUGUAAUUAUCAUUUUGGAAAAUAAAAAAUAGUCAAAUUA